UUCCUACGGGUGGCUGCAGUCGAGAAUCUUCGGCAAUGGGCGCAAGCCUGACCGAGCGACGCCGCGUGGAGGACGAAGGCCUUCGGGUUGUAAACUCCUGUCGAGGGGAAAGAAGGCCCCGCAAGGGGCUUGACUGAUCCCUGGAGGAAGCACGGGCUAAGUUCGUGCCAGCAGCCGCGGUAAGACGAACCGUGCGAACGUUAUUCGGAAUCACUGGGCUUAAAGCGCGUGUAGGCGGGACGGCACGUCGGUCGCUGAAAUCCCCCGGCUCAACCGGGGAACGGGCGCCGAUACGACCGCCCUGGAGGGACGUAGGGGGACCUGGAACUUCCGGUGGAGCGGUGAAAUGCGUUGAGAUCGGAAGGAACGCCCGUGGCGAAAGCGAGGUCCUGGACGUUUUCUGACGCUGAGACGCGAAAGCCAGGGGAGCGAACGGGAUUAGAUACCCGUGUAGUCGU
rnacentral:rRNA from 1 species